rnacentral:rRNA from 1 species
GACGAACGCUGGCGGCGUGCUUAACACAUGCAAGUCGAACGGAAAGGCCCUGCUUUUGUGGGGUGCUCGAGUGGCGAACGGGUGAGUAACACGUGAGUAACCUACCCUUUACUCAGGGAAAACCUCAGGAAACUGGGGCUAAUACCGGCUAGGAGCUCCUGCUGCUAGGUGUGGGUUGGAAAGUUUCGGUGGGUGGGGAUGGACUCGCGGCUUAUCAGCUUGUUGGUGGGGUAGAGGCUUACCAAGGCUUUGACGGGUAGCUGGCCUGGGUGGGUGACCGGAAACGUCACGACUGAAAUACGGCACGGACUCGAACGGGAGGCGGCGGAGGAGAAGAGUGCACAGUGGGAGGAAGCGAGCUGCGGCGACGCCGCGUGGGGGAUGAGGGCCAGCGAGUUGUAAAGCGAUUUCGCGUGUGACGAAGCGUGAGUGACGGUAAUGGGUGAAGAAGCACCGGCUAACUACGUG